rnacentral:rRNA from 1 species
UGCAAGUCGAACGAGACCUUCGGGUCUAGUGGCGCACGGGUGCGUAACGCGUGGGAAUCUGCCCUUAGGUACGGAAUAACUCAGAGAAAUUUGUGCUAAUACCGUAUGAUGUCGAAAGACCAAAGAUUUAUCGCCUAAGGAUGAGCCCGCGUAAGAUUAGCUUGUUGGUGAGGUAAAAGCUCACCAAGGCGACGAUCUUUAGCUGGUCUGAGAGGAUGAUCAGCCACACUGGGACUGGGACACGGCCCAGACUCCUACGGGAGGCAGCAGUGGGGAAUAUUGGACAAUGGGCGAAAGCCUGAUCCAGCAAUGCCGCGUGAGUGAUGAAGGCCUAGGGUUGUAAAGCUCUUUUACCAGGGAUGAUAAUGACAGUACCUGGAGAAUAAGCUCCGGCUAACUCCGUGCCAGCAGCCGCGGUAAUACGGAGGGAGCUAGCGUUGUUCGGAAUUACUGGGCGUAAAGAGUACGUAGGCGGUGAUUCAAGUCAGAGGUGAAAGCCUGGAGCUCAACUCCAGAACUGCCUUUGAAACUAGAUCGCUAGAAUUGUGGAGAGGUUAGUGGAAUUCCGAGUGUAGAGGUGAAAUUCGUAGAUAUUCGGAAGAACACCAGUGGCGAAGGCGACUAACUGGACACAUAUUGACGCUGAGGUACGAAAGCGUGGGGAGCAAACAGGAUUAGAUACCCUGGUAGUCCACGCCGUAAACGAUGAUAACUAGCUGUUCGGGGUCUACGAUCCUGAGUGGCGCAGCUAACGCAUUAAGUUAUCCGCCUGGGGAGUACGGUCGCAAGAUUAAAACUCAAAGGAAUUGACGGGGGCCUGCACAAGCGGUGGAGCAUGUGGUUUAAUUCGAAGCAACGCGCAGAACCUUACCAGCGUUUGACAUCCUAAUCGCGGUUUUCAGAGAUGAUUACCUUCAGUUCGGCUGGAUUAGUGACAGGUGCUGCAUGGCUGUCGUCAGCUCGUGUC